GACCACGAUCCCCAUCUAAUGAGAUAACUCCCCAGUUCCUCCCACCUUCCUCAACUCUCCUCUUUCUUCGAUUAUGAAUGCUAUAAAAACAAUCGAUUUUUUGAAACCGUAUACACAGAGAAGAUUAUACUUCAGAUUUGGAAAAAGAAAAUUCAUCAAUUUCAUUAUUCUCUGCAGGACAUCAUUGAUUUUAUCUGCACAAGCUGGAAAAAAAACUUUAUUUUUUUUGUCUCUACUGGUGGUAAAUCUUUGUCUCUCUGCAAGUGAAGUUUGGCCAAGUAGAAGAGGUACUCGUUGAUAAUUAGGGUGCUCAAGUUGGUUCAUACUUGGUCUUUUUGGAUUUCACUCAUUCUUCCAAGUGGUUUUGGUUGUUGCUGCUACUUUGCUGUUGCACAUUCAAGGUCUUCUUGGAGUUCCCUCAAUCUUCUAAGUGGUUGUUGCUGCUGCUGCUGUUACUUUGCCACCGUACGUUCAAGGAAAUAUGGAUGAAAACCCACAACCUCCGGCAGCAAAGAAAGUAAGAGGAGGGGCUAAGUUGAACUUCCUUAAUAAGCUGAAAAGGGUGAGAAAGUAUCACUGGAAUUUCGCCGGGGUGCACCAGUUGGAACGAACGCAAAUAAGAUCUCGGCUUAUUGUGGAAAGCUGGCACUAAAUGGAGAAAACUUCCCGUUUGACAUUCCAGACUGGUCUGAUAUGCCCCAUAAGGAAGAAAAGCUUGAAGAAGCCAUUGAAGAGCUGAAAGUUAAGAAAAUUACUUUAACCAAUAUAUUAAAUUAUUUUAUUGAUUGAAGAUUGCUAAAUUUUAACUGAUGAAUAUUGUAGAAUAUUUUUCAUUAUUCUGGUGAGAUCAACUUUUGGGUGGAGGAGAAAAUCCAUGAACAAUGGAAGGAAACAAACGUAACAUGAGGUUGGAACAUUUUGAUGAGAAGAAGACUGAUGCACAAAACCGAGCUAGUUGUCCAAACGAAGUUAUUGACACUCAGUGGGCAAAUAUGUCGAUAUAUUGGCGUUCACCUGAAUUCAAGAUCUUGACAUACUAUAUAUGAACAUAUAGAAGAGACAACACAAAAGAAAGCAAGUCGAGCGGCUGUGUAUCAGAAAACCUAUAGAGCCAAAGAAGGGAAAGGAGACCAGUAUUCUAAAAUCAUGGAAGCUGAGAAACAAGGUUGGAUUCGUGGUGUUGGUUCAACAAUUAAAGUAACCCAGCUUACGGGAGAAUCUUCUUCAAAUGUUGUCCAAAACAACGAGGAAAAUGCUGCAUUAAGAGAUGAAAUUAAGAAACUGAAGGAGGAUCACGUUCAUAUGCAGAACGACAUGGAAGAAGAACGUCUUGAGAUGAAGAAAACUGUAGAUGAUAUGAAAAAGGCUAACGAGGAAUCACAGAAAAAAAUAGAUGCCCUUUUGCUGCUGUUUGCUGGUCGGAGGGACCUCCCACAUCCAGAGCCAUAAAGUUAUGAUCUUAUUACACAAAUCUGAGGUUAAUUUCAUUGAAAGAUACAUGUUCAAGGUGUUGGAAGAUAUAUGACAAUUAACUUUGGAAGUAAGAAAUCCAUCUGUGAUAGUUUAAGUAUUUUAUUUUCAUUCACUUUAAGUAUUUUAUGUAUCAAACUCAAAAUGGUUUAGUAUUAAGCAUUUAUUUGCUUCAUGUAUCAGACUCGGAAUGGUUUAGUAUUGAAUUUUUAUUUGCUUCUGAAUGUAAUCAAUCAGACAAACAUGUAGUACAUGUGUUUUUAAUGAAUAAAUUGUUUUUCUGAAAUUGUUGUAAAGUAAAUA